rnacentral:lncRNA from 1 species
GCUUCGACUUGAACUCCCCCGAGGAAAGCGGGUUCGGUCUGGAGUGGUAGUGCUAAUACUAUGAGCAGACGGGGAAGCAGCAGGCACUCUUUGAGUUGCACUUGGUCGGUAACCUUCAGUGCCAUCUUUGAUGGUUGGCAGUGUGACUUUUAUAGGGUGACCAGAGGCAGACAUAGACUUCUGAUGUCGAGGCCGUGUUGACACAGCAGAAGCUACUGCAGAGCCUGCAGAAGAUGUGCUACUUGCAGACAUUUCUGUUAGGCUGUUGUCCUUCCCAUUCUGUAUUGCAGAAUAGCGAUCUGAAGAACGUUCACAAACAUAAGUGUUCCUUCUUGUCAUUCCACUUCCAGAAAAUACAUUAUUACUGGGAACUGUAGUGGAUUUCUUUCUUUCUGGACCCACAAGCGGACUUGCAGCCAUCUCUCCUUUGGAUCCCACUGUCGUGCUGCUAAGUUUACGUGACACAUCUUUGUCCCAGUCUUCUUUCUGUUCACUUUCCACACUGUUUGCCUGAGCCCUUUUUGUGUAUGACACAGUAGGAGGAAUUGAUGGACCAAUUGUUGGAAUGUCAUCC